AGGGUUUGAUCCUGGCUCAGGACGAACGCUGGCGGCGCGCCUAAUGAAUGCGAGUCGAACGAGAAACAGACGGCUGAUCUCUUCGGAGUAACGCGGUCUGUGGAGAGUGGCAUACGGGUGAGUAACACGUGGGUAACCUGCCUCCAAGACGGGGACAACACAGGGAAACUUGUGCUAAUCCCCGAUAGUCUACCGACACGUUGGUGUUGGCUAGUAAAAGGUUUCGUACCGCUUGGAGAUGGGCCCGCGGCUCAUUAGCUAGUUGGUGAGGUAACGGCUCACCAAGGCGACGAUGGGUAGCCGGUCUGAGAGGAUGAUCGGCCACACUGGGACUGCGACAUGGUCCAGACUCCUACGGGAGUUAGCAUCAGGGAAUCUUGCACAAUGAGCGAAAGCUUGAUGCAGCGACGCCGCGUGUGUGAUGAAGGCCUUCGGGUCGUAAAGCACUGUCAGGAGGGAAGAAUGCCACGUCUUUGGCGUGGUGAGACAGUACCUCCAGAGGAAGCCCCGGCUAACUACGUGCCAGCAGCCGCGGUAAAACGUAGGGGGCCAGCGUUGUCCGGAAUUACUGGGCGUAAAGAGCGCGUAGGCGGCUUAGUAAGCGGAGGGUGCAAUCCCGAGGCUCAACCUCGGAACUGCUCUCCGAACUGCCAGGCUUGAGUACGGGAGAGGAUAGUGGAAUUCCUGGUGUAGCGGUGGAAUGCGUAAAUAUCAGGAGGAACACCUGUGGCGAAGGCUGCUAUCUGGAACGUAACUGACGCUAAGGCGCGAAAGCUAGGGGAGCAAACGGGAUUAGAUACCCCGGUAGUCCUAGCCGUAAACGAUGGACACUAGGUGUUGGAGGCAUCGACCCCUUCAGUGCUGUUCUGUUAACGCGUUAAGUGUCCCGCCUGGGGAGUACGGUCGCAAGGCUAAAACUCAAAGGAAUUGACGGGGGCCCGCACAAGCGGUGGAGCAUGUUGGUUAAUUGGAGGAUACGUCAAGAACCUUACCAGGGCUUGACAUGUUUCUGAUCGCCUGGGAAACCAGGUUUUCCACUUCGGUGGACAGAAUCACAGGUGGUGCAUGGUUGUCGACAGCUCGUGUCGUGAGAUGUUGGGUUAAGUCCCGCAACGAGCGCAACCCUCACCGAAUGUUGCCAGCGGAUAAUGCCGGGGACUCUUUCGGGACUGCCUGAGCAAUCAGGAGGAAGGGGGGGACGACGUCAAAUCGGCAUGCCCCUUAUGUCCUGGGCUGCAAACGUGCUACAAUGGCCGGUACAGAGGGAAGCGAAGCCGCGAGGUGUAGCUAAUCCCCAAAGCCGGUCCCAGUUCGGAUUGGAUGUCUGCAACUCGACUCCAUGAAGCUGGAAUCGCUAGUAACCGCGGAUCAGCAAUGCCGCGGUGAAUACGUUCCCGGGCCUUGUACACACCGCCCGUCAAAUCACGAAAGCUUGCAGCACCCGAAGUCCGUCUUAGGGCGGCCGAAGGUGAGGCCAGUGAUUGGGAUUAAGUCGUAACAAGGUAGCCG
rnacentral:rRNA from 1 species